CGUGUCGGCCAGCAGCGUGGCGGGCUCGGCGCAGAAGAUGGAGAAGCUGAGCUGCAGGCGGCCGCCGCGCGUCAGGAUGAGCUCCAGGAAGUCGCAGAAGCCCUCGUCGUCGAAGUAGAGCACUAGGCCGCGCGCGCUGCGCGUC
ensembl:miRNA